GAUGAACGCUGGCGGCGUGCCUAAUACAUGCAAGUCGAGCGAACAGACGAGGUUGUUGCUCCUCUGACGGUAACGGCGGAAGGAUGAGUAACACGUGGAGAACCUACCUAUAAGACUGGGAUAACUUCGUGAAACCGGAGCUAAUACCGGAUAAUAUAUUGAACCGCAUGGUUCAAUAGUGAAAGACGGUUUUGCUGUCACUUAUAGAUGGAUCCGCGCUGCAUUGGCUAGUUGGUAAGGUAACGGCUUACGAAGGCAACGAUGCGUAGCCGACCCGAGAGCGUGAUGCCCCCCACUGGAACUGAGACACGGCCCAGACUCCUACGGGCGGCAGCAGUAGGGAAUCUUCCGAACUGGGCGAAAGCCUGACGGAGCAACGCCGGGUGAGUGAUGAAGGUCUUCGGAUCGUAAAACUCUGUUAUUAGGGAAAACCAAAUGUGUAAGUAACUAUGCACGUCUUGACGGUACCUAAUGAGAAAGCAACGGCUAACUACGUG
rnacentral:rRNA from 1 species